rnacentral:sRNA from 1 species
GUAACAAGGUCUCCGUUGGUGAACCAGCGGAGGGAUCAUUACCGAGUUUACAACUCCCAAACCCCUGUGAACAUACCACUUGUUGCCUCGGCGGAUCAGCCCGCUCCCGGUAAAACGGGACGGCCCGCCAGAGGACCCCUAAACUCUGUUUCUAUAUGUAACUUCUGAGUAAAACCAUAAAUAAAUCAAAACUUUCAACAACGGAUCUCUUGGUUCUGGCAUCGAUGAAGAACGCAGCAAAAUGCGAUAAGUAAUGUGAAUUGCAGAAUUCAGUGAAUCAUCGAAUCUUUGAACGCACAUUGCGCCCGCCAGUAUUCUGGCGGGCAUGCCUGUUCGAGCGUCAUUUCAACCCUCAAGCACAGCUUGGUGUUGGGACUCGCGUUAAUUCGCGUUCCUCAAAUUGAUUGGCGGUCACGUCGAGCUUCCAUAGCGUAGUAGUAAAACCCUCGUUACUGGUAAUCGUCGCGGCCACGCCGUUAAACCCCAACUUCUGAAUGUUGACCUCGGAUCAGGUAGGAAUACCCGCUGAACUUAAGCAUAUC